UACGAAGGGGGCUAGCGUUGCUCGGAAUUACUGGGCGUAAAGCGCGCGUAGGCGGCUUUUUAAGUCAGGGGUGAAAUCCUGGAGCUCAACUCCAGAACUGCCUUUGAUACUGAAGAUCUUGAGUCCGGGAGAGGUGAGUGGAACUGCGAGUGUAGAGGUGAAAUUCGUAGAUAUUCGCAAGAACACCAGUGGCGAAGGCGGCUCACUGGCCCGGUACUGACGCUGAGGCACGAAAGCGUGGGGAGCAAACAGG
rnacentral:rRNA from 1 species